rnacentral:rRNA from 1 species
UACGAAGGGAGCUAGCGUUGUUCGGAAUCACUGGGCGUAAAGCGCACGUAGGCGGAUGUGUCAGUCAGGGGUGAAAUCCCGGAGCUCAACUUCGGAACUGCCCUUGAUACAGCACGUCUUGAGUCCGGAAGAGGUGGGUGGAAUUCCUAGUGUAGAGGUGAAAUUCGUAGAUAUUAGGAAGAACACCGGUGGCGAGGGCGGCCCACUGGUCCGGUACUGACGCUGAGGUGCGAAAGCGUGGGGAGCAAACAGG